rnacentral:rRNA from 1 species
CCCUUAGAUGUUCUGGGCCGCACGCGCGCUACACUGAAUGGAUCAACGUGUUUUCCCUUCCCGAGAGGGACGGGUAACCCGCUGAACCCCAUUCGUGGUAGGGAUCGGAGCUUGCAAUUGUUCUCCGUGAACCAGGAAUUCCCAGUAAGCGCAAGUCAUAAGCUUGCGUUGAUUACGUCCCUGCCCUUUGUACACACCGCCCGUCGCUCCUACCGAUUGAAUGGUCCGGUGAAGCGUUCGGACCGUGGCCUUUGGACGGUUCGCCGUCUGUUGGCUGCGGGAAGUUCGUUAAACCUUAUCAUUUAGAGGAAGGAGAANUCGUAACA